rnacentral:rRNA from 2 species
UGGCUCAGAACGAACGCUGGCGGCAGGCCUAACACAUGCAAGUCGAGCGCCGUAGCAAUACGGAGCGGCAGACGGGAGAGUAACACGUGGGAACGUGCCCUUUGGUUCGGAACAACCCAGGGAAACUUGGGCUAAUACCGGAUAAGCCCUUACGGGGAAAGAUUUAUCGCCGAAGGAUCGGCCCGCGUCUGAUUAGCUAGUUGGUGGGGUAAUGGCCCACCAAGGCGACGAUCAGUAGCUGGUCUGAGAGGAUGACCAGCCUCACUGGGACUGAGACACGGCCCAGAGUCCUACGGGAGGCAGCAGUGGG